AGCAAGAAGUUUCUGCCGAUUACCUGCAUGCCUGGCUUAAAAGCUAAAGAUGACCUGCACAUAAUGACUGUUUUAGUCCCUCUACCCCUCCAGAAAGGAUCUCAGGAAAAUGCUUGAAUCACCCCCAGAAGAGGAAACCUCAGAUUUACAUGCUGACCACCUGUGACACCAGUGUGCUGUAUCCCCACAUCAGCAGUGCUCAGGCUGUGCCGCUUCUGCCUCCAGCAGCCUCUGUUGCGUGCUUGUGCUUGUUGCUCCUUCUUGAUCGAGGCAGUGCUGAGAUAAUGGUUGAUGCUGUUCAACCAGACUUCCUGAGGGCUCUGGCGCACCAGGUUCAUUUUCCUAGAAGUGAUGUCCAGGGCAAGAAAUGUGGCUUUCCUCUAAUCUUAUGGCCAUGACAGUUGGUGGAUGUACAUUUCGUGGGAUGCAAUUCAU
rnacentral:lncRNA from 1 species